AAGUCGUAACAAGGUUUCCGUAGGUGAACCUGCGGAAGGAUCAUUACUGAGUAGCUGAAGGGCCUGGCAGGCGCCGAUGAAGAGUUGGCGUCGCAGGACCGGUUACCCGACCUUGAUGUCAUUUGAUGCUCCGGGCGCGCGGUCCGGGCCGAGCCGUGGAUCGCGGGUGCCGGGGUGGAUAUAACUUCGGCGGAAGAGGCAGGCUAGACCUGCCCGCCGCCGGCGAUAGCCAAACAUUCUUGUGAGAAGGUGAAGUCUGAAGAUAGCAAAAACAAAUGAAAAAGCAAAACUUUCAACAACGGAUCUCUUGGCUCUG
rnacentral:misc_RNA from 1 species